rnacentral:rRNA from 1 species
ACUGCAGGGCAUUGCAUCAGUAGCGGCGAGUGAAGCGGCAAGAGCUCAGAUUUGAAAUCUCAUCAUUCGUGGUGCGAGUUGUAAAUUGCAGGUUGGAGUCUCGGUUUAGACGUGUGUGCAAGUCCCUUGGAACAGGGCGCCACUGAGGGUGAGAGCCCCGUAGUGUGCACGAUCGACGCUGUGAGGCCCUUCUGACGAGUCGAGUUGUUUGGGAAUGCAGCUCUAAGUGGGUGGUAAAUUCCAUCUAAGGCUAAAUAUUGGCGAGAGACCGAUAGCGAACAAGUACUGUGAAGGAAAGAUGAAAAGCACUUUGAAAAGAGAGUGAAACAGCACGUGAAAUUGUUGAAAGGGAAGGGUAUUGGGCUCGACAUGGGAUUUACGCAUCGUUGCCUCUCGUGGGCGGCGCUCUGGGUUUUUCCUGGGCCAGCAUCGGUUUUUGUUGCAGGAUAAGGACCUUUGGAAUGUGGCUCCCUCGAGAGUGUUAUAGCCAGUGAGAGACGCUGCAUAUGGACACAGAGCUCUGCGGCAGACUUGUUUCGUCUCAGAUGCUGGCACAACGGCGCUAUAGCGCGCGUUAAAAAAUAGAAAAAAAAAUUUUUUGGGGGG